rnacentral:rRNA from 1 species
UGGGGAAUAUUGCACAAUGGGCGCAAGCCUGAUGCAGCCAUGCCGCGUGUGUGAAGAAGGCCUUCGGGUUGUAAAGCACUUUCAGCGAGGAGGAAGGUGGUGAACUUAAUACGUUCAUCAAUUGACGUUACUCGCAGAAGAAGCACCGGCUAACUCCGUGCCAGCAGCCGCGGUAAUACGGAGGGUGCAAGCGUUAAUCGGAAUUACUGGGCGUAAAGCGCACGCAGGCGGUUUGUUAAGUCAGAUGUGGAAUCCCCGGGCUCAACCUGGGAACUGCAUUUGAAAACUGGCAAGCUAGAGUCUCGUAGAGGGGGGUAGAAAUUCCAGGUGUAGCGGUGAAAUGCGGUAGAGAUCUGGAGGAAUACCGGUGGCGAAAGGCGGCCCCCUGGACGAAGACUGACGCUCAGGUGCGAAAAGCGUGGGGAGCAAAACAGGAUUAGAUACCCUGGUAGUCCACGCUGUAAAACGAUGUCGAUUUUGGAGGUUGUGCCCUUGAGGCGUGGCUUCCGGAGCUAACGCGUUAAAUCGACCGCCUGGGGAGUACGGCCGCAAGGUUAAAAACUC